UAAAGCGCACGCAGGCGGUCUGUCAAGUCGGAUGUGAAAUCCCCGGGCUCAACCUGGGAACUGCAUUCGAAACUGGCAGGCUAGAGUCUUGUAGAGGGGGGUAGAAUUCUAGGUGUAGCGGUGAAAUGCGUAGAGAUCUGGAGGAAUACCGGUGGCGAAGGCGGCCCCCUGGACAAAGACUGACGCUCAGGUGCGAAAGCGUGGGGAGCAAACAGGAUUAGAUACCCUGGUAGUCCACGCCGUAAACGAUGUCGAUUUGGAGGUUGUGCCCUUGAGGCGUGGCUUCCGGAGCUAACGCGUUAAAUCGACCGCCUGGGGAGUACGGCCGCAAGGUUAAAACUCAAAUGAAUUGACGGGGGCCCGCACAAGCGGUGGAGCAUGUGGUUUAAUUCGAUGCAACGCGAAGAACCUUACCUGGUCUUGACAUCCACAGAACUU
rnacentral:rRNA from 1 species